rnacentral:tRNA from 1 species
GCCUGGUGGCUCAGGUGGUAAAGAAUCUGCCUGCAAUGCAGAAGACCCAGGUUCAAUCCCUGGAUCAGGAA